rnacentral:lncRNA from 1 species
GACCGAAUGCUACAGCUCUUCAGCGGGGAUAACUGAGGACCGUAUUGGGGAGCGAAGCGAAGGGGGUGGGGGAGCGGGAGGCGGUGAAAAGGGGAGGGGAGGCCCUGCGCAUGCGUGCCAGCGCCCAUGCAAAUCUGCUGUACAUCCAGAGAGCAAAGUGGGAUGAUCUGUCACUACACCUGCAGCACCACGCUCGGAGGACAGCUCCUGCUUACAGCUUCCAGACCCAGGAAGCCUGAAGGGAAGGAAGGAAGUACGGGCGAAAUCGUCAGAUUGGCUUCCCAGAUUUGGGAACCUGAAGCGGGCCCACAUCUUCCGGCCAACUUCCAUUGAACUUCCCAGCACUCGAUAGGGACCGAAAUGGAGAGCAAAGGUAUGUGGCUGUCCCCAUAGGGGACUUCCCGCUGCUUGUGCGUGUGGCCA